rnacentral:rRNA from 1 species
UUUUUCCUACGGGACGCAGCAGUGGGGAAUAUUGGGCAAUGGGCGCAAGCCUGACCCAGCAAUGCCGCGUGAACGAAGAAGGCCCUCGGGUUGUAAACUUCUUUUAUCAGGGACGAAGGAUGUGACGGUACCUGAUGAAUAAGCUCCGGCUAACUACGUGCCAGCAGCCGCGGUAAUACGUAGGGAGCAAGCGUUAUCCGGAUUUACUGGGUGUAAAGGGCGCGGAGGCGGGAUGGCAAGUCAGAUGUGAAAUCCAGGGGCUCAACCCCUGCACUGCAUU